AAAUCAUCAACCUCCGUCGAUCUCUGAUCGGUCGGAGGCUUGGACUUUGGAGCGUGCUGGCCUGAGGUCGGCUCCUCUUUAAAUGCAUCAGCGGGGAAGUCCAUUGACGUCUCCCGUCGGCGUGAUAAUCCUGUUACGCCGCCAGGGUCUCGUUGGGGCUCGCUUAUAAUCGUCUUUGGACAACAUCCU
rnacentral:misc_RNA from 1 species